rnacentral:rRNA from 1 species
ACGCCCGGUUACAUUCCGAACCCGGAAGCUAAGCCCUCCAGCGCCGAUGGUACUGCACUCGUGAGGGUGUGGGAGAGUAGGACACCGCCGGAC